CAGCAGUAGCCGCGGUAAUACGAGGGGGGCAAGCGUUGUUCGGAAUUAUUGGGCGUAAAGGGUGCGUAGGCGGUUUGACAAGUCUUAUGUGAAAUCUCUGGGCUCAACCCAGAGUCUGCAUGGGAAACUGUCGAGCUUGAGUAUGGGAGAGGUGAGUGGAAUUUCCGGUGUAGCGGUGAAAUGCGUAGAUAUCGGAAGGAACACCUGUGGCGAAAGCGGCUCACUGGACCAUUACUGACGCUGAUGCACGAAAGCUAGGGGAGCAAACAGGAUUAGAUACCCCGGUAGUCCCUGUCUCUUAUAC
rnacentral:rRNA from 1 species